UACGAAGGGGGCUAGCGUUGUUCGGAAUCACUGGGCGUAAAGCGCACGUAGGCGGAUCUUUAAGUCAGAGGUGAAAUCCCAAGGCUCAACCUUGGAACUGCCUUUGAUACUGGGGAUCUUGAGUCCGGGAGAGGUGAGUGGAACUGCGAGUGUAGAGGUGAAAUUCGUAGAUAUUCGCAAGAACACCAGUGGCGAAGGCGGCUCACUGGCCCGGUACUGACGCUGAGGUGCGAAAGCGUGGGGAGCGAACAGG
rnacentral:rRNA from 1 species